CAAAUGUAACUCAAACUCUGUAGCAGUGUCUGAUUGGGCGGUCACCAGUCCUCCUCUUACCCCUUCUCCGAAUAAAAGAAGGACCCAAGAGGGGGCCUGUCCUCUUUGGCUUGCAUCUCUUCUGCGAACAUCUUGUCUCUGUUUCUGUUUGAAAGCUUCUAGUUGCAGGAAUUGGCAACUGAAGACUGUGUUUCUCCCUCUUGCUUCCACUGGUGGUAUCAGUUUUGCAGCUACUGUUGCUGAUUUUAGAGCUACUGAAAUGCUGGAUUGCCCGUGCUACCUCUCUAGGCUGCCUGAGUCUUUCUAAGGCAUUGAACUACGAGCCUAGCCGGUAAAAAGCUGUGAGUAUCUCCACAGCCUGAGCCAGGCCUGUGAUGUGUUGAAAAGCGUCUGCUUCAUGAACAUCUGGACUAGAUGGCCAGAUCCAUGCUACAUGCACAGCUGGAGCAAAGACAAAGCAGAGGUGGUGCUGAUGGGCCUGGGCUCUUCCAGCAGGUUUAAAAGACCCAGGAUAUCUGGAUGGCAUUACACCUAUAUAAGUCACCAGUGUGCUUCCCGAGGAGAGCAGAACCACUGUUUUGCAUCAUCUGAGGAUCAGCUCCAAGUAUGGCAGAGUGCUUACUAGUACCAGCCUUGGCACCAAAAGACACCAGAACUGGAAGUAUAUACAGUGCCUGUGCAGAGCGAUCAUGGACUGAACCAAAAGGGUUACAAUAACAGUCUGCAGAAACAAGACAACACAUACACACUGGAUUCAGGUCUACAUGUGGAUAUAAUUCAUUCAAUACCAAUAAAGGGUGCAUUUCCAGUGCUAAAGGAAGAGGCAUUUUAUGAUGCAAAGAGAAAGUAAACAGAAAAGAUAUAAAGGCAGAAGAUACCAUGGUCUUUGAGGGUGAUUGUAACAGAUUCUCUUUGGCAAGAAUAUUUUUGACAAUUUAAUGAACAUUAGAAAAGCUUUGUAUAGUAUGGAUAUAUCCAUGUGCCAUCAGGGUGAAAUAUUUUGCUGUAUUAAAAUAGGUUUCUCUGUAUUACUCAAUAUUUUCAGAAGUGCUGAAUGUCUUUACAGGGCUAUAUAAAUGCACUUUACUUAUUUCCAAGAUAGUCUUCCUUUAUAGGUUUGAGCAGUAUAAUAAUUUAUGUGAAUAUUUGCCAUUAGAUUGAUGAGAUUGUAUUUAUCAGUGACAUUAAUAAACCUUUUGCAUAUUCCGCAAUGAAAAGCUUGAGAUGAGCACUUACGUAAUGCAAAACCUUUAAGAACAGGCUUUAUGCAGCCAUUUUAAUUUCUCUCACCUCCCAGCGUGCAGAUGGAAAAUGCAGUGAGGCUCAUUCCCCGCUGUAUAUUUUUCACAUGUGUUCAGCUAAUUAAAGAAUAAGUAGGGUAACACAUUUCCUCCCACAACACUUACUGUGUUGUUCAUUCACAGCCCUUUUCUUUAAUGUGAUUACAAUAUCUGUGUUCGGCUUUUAGCCAGCUGAACAAAGGCAAGGAGCUUGCAGAGCUCAUUUUUGGUACUUCUGUUCUUCACCUUAGUUACUCAGAUUUUUGUGUUUUCAAAUGAAGGACGAUCUUAUUUGUAUGUAGACCCAUGUAGACCCAGAGUAACUUCACUGUUAACUGAGACCACAGACACCUCUUGGAAGCAUCUGAUCUCUGCUGCUUCCUGGUUUGGGGCAACCUGCUGGGAGUCUGGAUUUGUAUGUCUGUGAAUCAGUGCUACUUUGAUGACUAUGUUUGGCAGUUGUUCCCUAGCAUUAGGUUAAACCUCAGUGGUACCAUAAAUGAAAAAAUGGAGUUGAACUGGGAAGUUACAUAUGUACAUAUCUCCAAUGAAAAAACUGUAACAGGAAAAAAAAUCACCAGAAAGACAUUUGUCAUCUGUUGUCCCACUGCUUAUUAACUAUAAAUUGCAGAUGGCACUUUGAACAUUUGGGAUGCUGAAGAAGAAUAGUUACCUUUGGCAAAAGGGUUUCACAAUAAUAAUAGAGUCAAUUAGCUGGCAACAUUCGUUAAUGAAGUGGAAAACUGACAUGCCAAAAAUACUGUGCAAGGCUGAGUAUUAUAGCAAAGUGAGUGCCAUUUGAAAAGCUUGGAAUUCUGAUGUUAAUCAGAUGUAUCAGAUGUUUAUGUAAAAAGGCAUAGACUUGAGAUACAUUUUGAAUGCAGGAAGUAAAAUUUGCUUGAAGAAUAUAGAAAACCUUGAAAGACAAAAGCUUGGAAUUACAUUAAAAACAGAGGGCCCAAUUCUUGUUAAAAAAUAGCUUUGUUAGACAUAAUGAAGUUACAGUGAUUUAAACAAGAAUUUGUGAAAAAAUGUAUAGCCUGUGUUACUGGAUGUUAUAUUUUCCAGAGAACAAGACCCUGAACCAGUGAAACCUUUCCUUAGGAACUCUAUCCCAUAAGCGUGUAGGAAGUUCCAGGCCCAUUUUGUGCUAUUCAAGGGGAAGUAGACAGUAGGAACAAAGCUUUAAACCAGGCCCUUUGGCAAAACUAGUAGAUCCAAUCAGAACACCCAACAGACUGAUUCUAGCCUCCAUCUUUCCCAGUUGAUACCACAGUAAUAUAACCUACAGAGGCCCACAGAACAUUCAGGGUCAUUGUCCAACACAGUAUCACAGGCUGUGGAACACUUCCCAAGGCCUACCAAAUACUUAAGACAUUAAAAAUUUCAAAGGUCAAAAUUUCAGUGUGCCACAGGGACACAAUGAGUACCUCCAAUGCCCUCACAACAACAGGGCACUAAAUAACACUAAACUAACAUUCCCUGAUCACCCUAAUAAGCAAACCACACACAGGUUCCAGGGUGGGGGAAAAAGCCCCUGCAGAUCUGAACUGAGAAAGAAUUUUCCUCCUAACCUUCGAAGAUCUGGUGACUCUUUGUAAGGUUGGGAAGAUAACAGAAAUAGUCAACUGUUCUCUGGGGUUCCCUCUAUCAAUGUGAUGCUGCCAACAAAACACAAUGAAAGUAAAUAAAAAAGAAGAUGGGGAAAUGGGUUGAGGCUUGUAGGCUUGCUGCUUAUCAGUCUGGGCUGGCAGUGGCUACAGGACAACCCUCAGGGUUCAUUUAACCAUGUGUCAUUAGGGCUUCUGGUGUUAAUUGAAGCUGAAGCCUAACUGACUGCAAGGGUGGCUUUGUUAAAAGUAUGACAGCAAUCAUCAGGUCAGUAUUUAUGAUGUGAGGCAAAGGCCAUGUUUUAUUACUCUGGGUCUACUUGGUGGUUUCCAUGCUAUCCUUGCUUGUCAGUGUGUGUAUUUACUGAAAGUUACGAGGGCUUUAUCAAGAAAUAAAAAACUCUUCAAGCUGUUAAAUUAUUUUUCACAUAGAAUGAAUAAUUUUUAACUUCAAAAUACCUUGCUUGAUUCAGAAACUGCAGUUGCCCAUAUGAGGUAAUUUUGCAGUUAACAUACAAAUCCGCAAAUUUUUGGUAUUUCAUUUUAGGAAAUAAAAUCUAUUUUGACUCUAAAGAAAUUAAGGGCAUCAAGAAUUUAGAUUUAAGACCACUGUAUAAUACGUUGCAUUUGGUUCACUGGUAAAAACCUUCUCGGUAUUUGAAUUCUUAAUCUUAAAAAUUAAACAUUUUACAUUUUCUUCAUUUAUUUAGCAUCAGCUAAGAUUCACAGAUUUGUUAUCCAUGUACUUACCAUAUGUAUUUCUGAAAACUGUGUCAGCAGUUUUGAUAAAUCAGAGCCAAAGCCCUAUUAGCUGCCAUUCAACUAGCUUAUCCAAACAUUUGUUACCUUUCUACAUAUAUGGCUGAAGAGGAAAGAAUUAGCCUGGAAAAAUGACUUUCAUACGGGAAUAAGACUUGCAUGUAUCACUGGAAAUCUGCUUAUUAAAAUGUUCAUACCAACA